rnacentral:rRNA from 1 species
AUGGAGAAUCAAGGAAAGUGCAGUAGUGCUCCCUCGGGACCCCGUUUUACAGCAAAUGUGGAGAUGGCUAGGAGAUUUGAAUAUUUGAAUAAGAUGGAAGACAUAACGAUGUCUCUUGGGCAACCAAAGUUGGUGACUAUUCCAGGUCUCAGUUUGGGACUAACUUAUGUUUCGCCGAUGGCGGAUGGUAGUUGGAAAAUUAUAGAAGAGAAAGAAAAAUUUCUCGAAGAAUGUCCUGAGCAAUGGAAGAUAUGGCGAGAAGAGACUAAUGAAUGGAAGGUAUGGCAAGAAGAGCAAGAAUCUUUGAAAGCAGCAGAUGAGGCAUCCUUGUUGGCAGAGGAACAAGCUCGAUGGAAAGCAUGGCAGAAAGACCAAGAUUAUGUAGAAUUAGCAGAUGGAGCUUUCUUGGUAGCAGACGAACAAGCUCAAUGGGAGGCAUGGAAGGAGGACGAAAAUUGUGUGCAGGUUUUGAAAAGGCGACGUACUAGCAACCCAGGUCGUAGGAUGUAUAUUCAAGGGAUUUUCUAUUUUUAA